rnacentral:rRNA from 1 species
AUUGAACGCUGGCGGCAGGCCUAACACAUGCAAGUCGAACGGUAGCACAGGAGAGCUUGCUCUUUGGGUGACGAGUGGCGGACGGGUGAGUAAUGCAUGGGGAGCUGCCCAAUCGAGGGGGAUACCAGCUGGAAACGGCUGCUAAUACCGCAUACGCCCUGAGGGGGAAAGGUGGGGACCUUUGGGCCUACCGCGAUUGGAUGCACCCAUGUGGGAUUAGCUAGUUGGUGAGGUAACGGCUCACCAAGGCGACGAUCUCUAGCUGGUCUGAGAGGAUGACCAGCCACACUGGAACUGAGACACGGUCCAGACUCCUACGGGAGGCAGCAGUGGGGAAUAUUGCACAAUGGGGGAAACCCUGAUGCAGCCAUGCCGCGUGUGUGAAGAAGGCCUCGGUG